rnacentral:lncRNA from 1 species
CAGGGAUAUAGAUGGGAAAUGAAAUCACCUGGCCCCUGACUCAGUCCAUCUCCCAGGCUAACUGGGAGCUACUGGAUACAGGCAUCAGGAAGGUGAUGUGAAAGAUGCCGCAGGUGAAAGAGAAGAAGAACGCGGAGCACCUGAGCAGCUGUGGAGCCUCGGAUUCGUUGGAAGGCACAUUCUUGGAAGAAUAGGAAUUCUUCUCAACAAAUUCCUCUCAACUUCUUG